GACGUAGGGGGCCAGCGUUGCUCGGAAUUACUGGGCGUAAAGGGUUCGUAGGCGGUGUGGCAAGUCGGGAGUGAAAUCUCUGGGCUUAACUCAGAGGCUGCUUCCGAAACUGCCGUGCUAGAGUGCGGGAGAGGCGAGUGGAAUUGCAGGUGUAGCGGUGAAAUGCGUAGAUAUCAGGAGGAACACCGAUGGCGAAGGCAGGUCUCUGGGCCACUACUGACGCUGAGAAGCGAAAGCAUGGGGAGCGAACAGG
rnacentral:rRNA from 1 species